ACAAAAACAUGGCCUCUAGGAGGGAAUAUGAGGUCGGACCUGCCCAAUGUAAGAUCAAUGGCCGCGGGAUUUUAACCGUGCUAAGGUAGCAUAAUCAAUCGUCUCUUAAUAGGAGAAUGGCAUGAAGGGUUUGACGAGGGGGGCACUGUCUCCUGGGUGUUAGGACGAAAUUGGGGGGUAAGUAAAAACACUCACAUUCUGUGGAGGGACGAAAAGACCCUAAGAUCUUAGUCAGGACCAGGCAAAUUUGCUGAAGUUUUGAUUUCCCUGGGAAGGGGCAUACAAUAAACUGUUGUGACUAGAAAGGUUACAGACCAAACAGCGAACCUUCGGGAGAAAAAGGAAAAAGUUACCUUAGGGAUAACAGCAGAAUACCGACUAAAGAGACCAAACCUCUAGUAGGGCUUCUGACCUCGAUGUUGAAUUAAGAUGUUAUCUAGGGGCAGAAAUCUAGAUUGUAGGAUCGUUCAUCCUUUAAAAUCUCACGUGAUCUGA
rnacentral:rRNA from 1 species